GGGCGGUUAGUUCAGUUGGUAGAACACGCCAGACUCCCGCAAGGGAGAGGCCAUGGUCCGCGGUUCGAGUCCGCGACCGCCCGCUA
rnacentral:tRNA from 2 species